GAGACAAGAUUCCGGGCCCUACGGGGCGCAGCAGCGCGAAACCUUUACCUUGCACGCCAGUGCGAUAAGGGGAUCCCGAGUGCACAGGCAUAGAGCCUGUGCUUUUCUGAACCGUAGGGAGGUUCAGGAACAAGAGCUGGGCAAGACCGGUGCCAGCCGCCGCGGUAAUACCGGCAGCUCGAGUGAUGGCCGAUCUUAUUGGGCCUAAAGCGUCCGUAGCUGGCCUUGCAAGUCCGUCGGGAAAUCCACCCGCUCAACGGGUGGGCGUCCGGCGGAAACUGUGAGGCUUGGGACCGGGAGGCUUGAAGGGUACGUCCGGGGUAGGAGUGAAAUCCUGUAAUCCUGGACGGACCGCCGAUGGGGAAACCACUUCAAGAGAACGGAUCCGACAGUGAGGGACGAAAGCUAGGGUCUCGAACCGGAUUAGAUACCCGGGUAGUCCUAGCUGUAAACGAUGCCUGUUAGGUGUGACUCCCACUACGAGUGGGUGUUGUGCCGUAGGGAAGCCGCUAAACAGGCCGCCUGGGAAGUACGUCUGCAAGGAUGAAACUUAAAGGAAUUGGCGGGGGAGCACUACAACCGGAGGAGCCUGCGGUUUAAUUGGACUCAACGCCGGACAUCUCACCAGCAUCGACUGUGGUAAUGACGGUCAGGUUGAUGACCUUACCCGAGCCACAGAGAGGAGGUGCAUGGCCGCCGUCAGCUCGUACCGUGAGGCGUCCUGUUAAGUCAGGCAACGAGCGAGACCCGCAUCCUUACUUGCCAGCAGCACCGCGAGGUGGCUGGGGACAGUAGGGAGACCGCCGUGGCUAACACGGAGGAAGGAACGGGCAACGGUAGGUCAGUAUGCCCCGAAUAUGCUGGGCAACACGCGGGCUACAAUGGUCGAGACAAUGGGUUCCAACGCCGAGAGGCGACGGUAAUCUCAGAAACUCGGUCGUAGUUCGGAUUGUGGACUGAAACUCGUCCACAUGAAGCUGGAUUCGGUAGUAAUCGCGUGUCAGAAGCGC
rnacentral:rRNA from 1 species